rnacentral:rRNA from 1 species
AGCGAACGCUGGCGGCAGGCCUAACACAUGCAAGUCGAACGAAGUCUUCGGACUUAGUGGCGGACGGGUGAGUAACACGUGGGAACGUGCCCUUAGGUUCGGAAUAACUCAGGGAAACUUGUGCUAAUACCGAAUGUGCCCUUCGGGGGAAAGAUUUAUCGCCUUUAGAGCGGCCCGCGUCUGAUUAGCUAGUUGGUGGGGUAAUGGCCCACCAAGGCUACGAUCAGUAGCUGGUCUGAGAGGAUGACCAGCCACAUUGGGACUGAGACACGGCCCAAACUCCUACGGGAGGCAGCAGUGGGGAAUCCUGCGCAAUGGGCGAAAGCCUGACGCAGCCAUGCCGCGUGGAUGAUGAAGGUCUUAGGAUUGUAAAAUCCUUUCACCGGUGAAGAUAAUGACUGUAGCCGGAGAAGAAGCCCCGGCUAACUUCGUGCCAGCCGCCGCGGUAACAC